AGGACGAACGCUGGCGGCGUGCUUCACACAUGCAAGUCGAACGGGGCUCAUUCGGUGGUAACACCGGAGAAGGCCUAGUGGCGAACGGGUGCGUAACACGUGAAGAACCUGCCCCGAAGACUGGGAUAACAGCGGGAAACCGCUGCUAAUACCGGAUGACCCCACCAGGCCGCAUGGCCAGGUGAGGAAAUGGGCCUACCGCUUCGGGAGGGCUUCGCGGCCUAUCAGCUUGUUGGUGGGGUAACGGCCUACCAAGGCUACGACGGGUAGCUGGUCUGAGAGGACGACCAGCCACACUGGGACUGAGACACGGCCCAGACUCCUACGGGAGGCAGCAGUGGGGAAUCUUGCGCAAUGGGCGAAAGCCUGACGCAGCAACGCCGCGUGAGGGAUGAAGGUCUUCGGGUUGUAAACCUCUUUCGAGCAGGGACGAUUGUGACGGUACCUGCAGAGAAGCUCCGGCCAACUACGCGCCAGCAGCCGCGGU
rnacentral:rRNA from 1 species